rnacentral:rRNA from 1 species
AAUAUUGGACAAUGGGCGAAAGCCUGAUCCAGCCAUGCCGCGUGUGUGAAGAAGGUACUUCGGAUUGUAAAGCACUUUAAGUUGGGAGGAAGGGCAGUAAGUUAAUACCUUGCUGUUUUGACGUUACCAACAGAAUAAGCACCGGCUAACUUCGUGCCAGCAGCCGCGGUAAUACGAAGGUGCAAGCGUUAAUCGGAAGUUACUGGGCGUAAAGCGCGCGUAGGUGGUUCAGCAAGUUGGAUGUGAAAUACCCCGGGCUCAACCUGGGAACUGCAUACCAAAACUAACUGAGCUAGAGUACGGUAGAGGGUGGUGGAAUUUCCUGUGUAGCGGUGAAAUGCGUAGAUAUAGGAAGGAACACCAGUGGCGAAGGCGACCACCUGGACUGAUACUGACACUGAGGUGACGAAAGCGUGGGGAGCAAACAGGAUUAGAUACCCUGGUAG